rnacentral:lncRNA from 1 species
CUAAUAUGUUCUCCUAUUUAUUUGUAUUGUAGUCCUGUAAUAUUAUGUUGUCAUUUCAAUGUUAUAUUUAACUUUGCCAUUAAAGUGCGAGGUUUGGCAUGCCUUAAAACCAGGUUCAACCCACCACUUUUAUUCCCCUUUAAAAGUGUCCUGUACCAAGUCAGGAAGAUGGUCAUUGUUAUAAUAUUGUUCUUUUCUCUUUGUGUUGCAUUUUAACGUUGAGUCGUUUGUGUUUUCUCUUAUUUUUGAGAUAUUGAGAUAAGACGUGGCACGGUACUUGUCUAUCCCAAAUUCAUGUAUUUGGUUUUCAUGUUACAUUUGUUAUUCUCGUGGUGUUUUGUCUGAUGAUUGGUCUGUUUCUGUGUGUGUUGCGUUGUUCUCCUCUUAUAUUUAAUGCGUUUCGCUCGGUUUUGGUUUGUUACCCCGAUUUUGUUUUUUGUCCAUGGAUUUAUGAGUUUUGAACAGCGGUAUACUACUGUUGCCUUUAUUU